rnacentral:rRNA from 1 species
UGGGGAAUAUUGCACAANNGGCGCAAGCCUGAUGCAGCGACGCCGCGUGGGGGAUGACGGCCUUCGGGUUGUAAACUCCUUUCGCCAGGGACGAAGCGUUUUGUGACGGUACCUGGAGAAGAAGCACCGGCUAACUACGUGCCAGCAGCCGCGGUAAUACGUAGGGUGCAAGCGUUGUCCGGAAUUACUGGGCGUAAAGAGCUCGUAGGUGGUUUGUCGCGUCGUCUGUGAAAUUCCACAGCUUAACUGUGGGCGUGCAGGCGAUACGGGCAUAACUUGAGUACUGUAGGGGUAACUGGAAUUCCUGGUGUAGCGGUGAAAUGCGCAGAUAUCAGGAGGAACACCGAUGGCGAAGGCAGGUUACUGGGCAGUUACUGACGCUGAGGAGCGAAAGCAUGGGUAGCAAACAGGAUUAGAUACCCUGGUAGUCCAUGCCGUAAACGGUGGGCGCUAGGUGUAGGGGCCUUUUGGGGUUUCUGUGCCGUAGCUAACGCAUUAAGCGCCCCGCCUGGGGAGUACNNNNNCAAGGCUA